rnacentral:rRNA from 1 species
UACGUAGGGGGCAAGCGUUGUCCGGAUUUAUUGGGCGUAAAGAGCGUGUAGGCGGCCUGGUAGGUCAGCUGUGAAAACUCGAGGCUCAACCUCGAGACGCCGGUUGAAACCAUCAGGCUAGAGUCCGGAAGAGGAGAGUGGAAUUCCCGGUGUAGCGGUGAAAUGCGCAGAUAUCGGGAAGAACACCCGUGGCUAAGGCGGCUCUCUAGUACGGUACUGACGCUGAGACGCGAAAAGCGUGGGGGAGCGAACAGG